AGGCCUCUCGAGGGGUGCUGCCCUAGAUGACUUGUGAUUCUAGUGCGCGGCUGAGAUCAGACCCUUAUAAACGGAUCAGGAUAAUGCCUGCGACGUGAUGAUGCCUAUGGUACAA
rnacentral:ncRNA from 1 species